rnacentral:sRNA from 1 species
AAAAACAAGAAGAAGAAGAAAC